rnacentral:rRNA from 1 species
GACAGAGGUGCCGAGCGUUAGGCGGAAUCACUGGGCGUAAAGCGCGCGUAGGUGGUUCGUUAAGUUGGAUGUGAAAUCCCCGGGCUCAACCUGGGAACUGCAUCCAAAACUGGCGAGCUAGAGUAUGGUAGAGGGUGGUGGAAUUUCCUGUGUAGCGGUGAAAUGCGUAGAUAUAGGAAGGAACACCAGUGGCGAAGGCGACCACCUGGACUGAUACUGACACUGAGGUGCGAAAGCGUGGGGAGCAAACAGG